rnacentral:sRNA from 2 species
ACCGCAUAGGUGACCAGCGUUGUGCGUUUGUGACCCGUUUCAUUUUAUGCGUGCUCCUUUUUCUAUUUUCCAUUUCUUCCUGCUUGCAUUCAUUUGCGGAAUCGAGGUUUUGGACCCCGAACAAUAGUGUCAAUCAGCUGGUUGAGGAGCGUUUCCCUCCCUCUCAUCAGCUUUGCUUGGAAUUCUUGGAAUUUAGCUUGUUGUUUUGUUAUUUUUGUUAUAGGAAAAUGGGCUUGCGAAAGAGACUAAGGUGGACAUAUUUUGGGUCUGAAGGCAUGCGUACUACUGGCGAAUUCUUCUUCAUGGCGAUGAAGAGAAGGGAGGUGUGAGCUCAGCACCGCAUUCGGCAUGAUGCAUGCUCUCGCCUACCGAACGUGGAUCUCAGAAUUCCUCAUGCAUGGAGUUAAACAGGAGACAAAGGGGAUGUAUUGGUUGCUGUGAACCAGUCGUAUGAAAAUCGGCAAGGCAAUUUGGUAUGAGGAAAAACAAGUAGAAUUAUAUCGCGAAGGCCGCUGGUUUUAAUAGACUGCUUUUUUUGCUUCCCAAUUCUCACACUCUUGCUAGUGAUUUAGACUUUGAAGACGCU